rnacentral:rRNA from 1 species
CAGCAGCCGCGGUAAUACGAAGGGGGCUAGCGUUGCUCGGAAUGACUGUGCGUAAAGAGCGCGUAGGCGGCGGCCAAAGUCAGGCGUGAAAUUCCUGGGCUCAACCUGGGGGCUGCGUUUGAUACUUGGUUGCUUGAGUGGGGAAGAGGGUCGUGGAAUUCCCAGUGUAGAGGUGAAAUUCGUAGAUAUUGGGAAGAACACCGGUGGCGAAGGCGGCGACCUGGUCCUUUACUGACGCUGAGGCGCGAAAGCGUGGGGAGCAAACAGGAUUAGAUACCCCUGUAGUCCCUGUCUCUUAUAC